rnacentral:rRNA from 1 species
AGGUUAACCGUAUAGGGGAGCCGUAGGGAAACCGAGUCUUAACUGGGCGAAUGAGUUGCAGGGUAUAGACCCGAAACCCGGUGAUCUAUCCAUGGGCAGGUUGAAGGUUGGGUAACACUAACUGGAGGACCGAACCGACUAAUGUUGAAAAAUUAGCGGAUGACUUGUGGAUGGGGGUGAAAGGCCAAUCAAACCGGGAGAUAGCUGGUUCUCCCCGAAAGCUAUUUAGGUAGCGCCUCGUGAAUUCAUCUUCGGGGGUAGAGCACUGUUUCGACUAGGGGGUCAUCCCGACUUACCAACUCGAUGCAAACUGCGAAUACCGAAGAAUGUUAUCACGGGAGACACACGGCGGGUGCUAACGUCCGUCGUGAAGAGGGAAACAACCCAGACCGCCAGCUAAGGUCCCAAAGUCAUGGUUAAGUGGGAAACGAAGUGGGAAGGCUCAGACAGCCAGGAUGUUGGCUUAGAAGCAGCCAUCAUUUAAAGAAAGCGUAAUAGCUCACUGGUCGAGUCGGCCCGCGCGGAAGAUGUAACGGGGCUAAACCAUGCACCGAAGCUGCGGCAGCGACACAAAGUGUUGUUGGGUAGGGGAGCGUUCUGUAAGCCUGCGAAGGUGUACUGUGAGGUAUGCUGGAGGUAUCAGAAGUGCGAAUGCUGACAUAAGUAACGAUAAUGCGGGUGAAAAACCCGCACGCCGGAAGACCAAGGGUUCCUGUCCAACGUUAAUCGGGGCAGGGUGAGUCGACCCCUAAGGCGAGGCUGAAAAGCGUAGUCGAUGGGAAACGGGUUAAUAUUCCCGUACUGGUGGUAACUGCGAUGGGGGAACGGAGAAGGCUAGGUUGUCCGGGCGACGGUCGUCCCGGUUCAAGCAGGUAGGCAGAGUGAUUAGGCAAAUCCGGUCACUUAAUGCUGAGAUGUGAUGACGAACCACCAAGGUGGUGAAGCAAUUGAUGCCCCGCUUCCAGGAAAAGCCUCUAAGCUUCAGGUUACCAACAAUCGUACCCCAAACCGACACAGGUGGUCAGGUAGAGAAUACUCAGGCGCUUGAGAGAACUCGGGUGAAGGAACUAGGCAAAAUGGUGCCGUAACUUCGGGAGAAGGCACGCUGGCGGUAGGUAAAGUCCCUCGCGGACGGCGCUGAAGCCAGUCGAAGAUACCAGCUGGCUGCAACUGUUUAUUAAAAACACAGCACUGUGCAAACACGAAAGUGGACGUAUACGGUGUGACGCCUGCCCGGUGCUGGAAGGUUAAUUGAUGGGGUUAGCGCAAGCGAAGCUCCUGAUCGAAGCCCCAGUAAACGGCGGCCGUAACUAUAACGGUCCUAAGGUAGCGAAAUUCCUUGUCGGGUAAGUUCCGACCUGCACGAAUGGCGUAAUGAUGGCCAGGCUGUCUCCACCCGAGACUCAGUGAAAUUGAACUCGCUGUGAAGAUGCAGUGUACCCGCGGCAAGACGGAAAGACCCCGUGAACCUUUACUAUAGCUUGACACUGAACAUUGAGCCUUGAUGUGUAGGAUAGGUGGGAGGCUUUGAAGUGUGGACGCCAGUCUGCAUGGAGCCAACCUUGAAAUACCACCCUUUAACGUUUGAUGUUCUAACCUAGGCCCAUAAACUGGGUCGGGGACCGUGUCUGGUGGGUAGUUUGACUGGGGCGGUCUCCUCCUAAAGAGUAACGGAGGAGCACGAAGGUUGGCUAAGCAUGGUCGGACAUCAUGCGGUUAGUGCAAAGGCAUAAGCCAGCUUGACUGCGAGAGUGACGGCUCGAGCAGGUACGAAAGUAGGUCUUAGUGAUCCGGUGGUUCUGAAUGGAAGGGCCAUCGCUCAACGGAUAAAAGGUACUCCGGGGAUAACAGGCUGAUACCGCCCAAGAGUUCAUAUCGACGGCGGUGUUUGGCACCUCGAUGUCGGCUCAUCACAUCCUGGGGCUGAAGUAGGUCCCAAGGGUAUGGCUGUUCGCCAUUUAAAGUGGUACGCGAGCUGGGUUUAGAACGUCGUGAGACAGUUCGGUCCCUAUCUGCCGUGGGCGUUGGAAGAUUGAGAGGGGUUGCUCCUAGUACGAGAGGACCGGAGUGAACGCACCACUGGUGUUCGGGUUGUCAUGCCAAUGGCAUUGCCCGGUAGCUAAGUGCGGAAGAGAUAACCGCUGAAAGCAUCUAAGCGGGAAACUUGCCUCGAGAUGAGUCUUCCCUGUCGCUUUAAGCGACCUAAAGGAACGUUUAAGACUAAGACGUUGAUAGGCUGGGUGUGUAAGCGUAGCGAUACGUUGAGCUAACCAGUACUAAUGAACCGUGAGGCUUAACCUGACAACACCGAAAGUGUUUUG